rnacentral:rRNA from 1 species
UCAAAGGAAGUUGACGGGGCCCGGCACAAGCGGUGGAGUAUGUGGUUUAAUUCGAUGCAACGCGAAGAACCUUACCUGGUCUUGACAUCCCGGAGACCCUUAGGAAACUAGGGGGUGCUUCCAUCUGGAAGAAUCUGGAGACAGGUGCUGCAUGGCUGUCGUCAGCUCGUGUCGUGAGAUGUUGGGUUAAGUCCCGCAACGAGCGCAACCCUUGCCUUUAGUUGCCAGCAGUUCGGCUGGGCACUCUAAAGGGACUGCCGGUGUUAAACCGGAGGAAGGUGGGGAUGACGUCAAGUCCUCAUGGCCUUUAUGACCAGGGCUACACACGUACUACAAUGGCCGAUACAAAGGGCAGCGACACUGCGAGGUGAAGCCAAUCCCGUAAAAUCGGUCUCAGUCCGGAUUGGAGUCUGCAACUCGACUCCAUGAAGUUGGAAUCGCUAGUAAUCGUGGAUCAGCAUGCCACGGUGAAUACGUUCCCGGGCCUU